rnacentral:rRNA from 1 species
UGGGGAAUAUUGGACAAUGGGCGCAAGCCUGAUCCAGCCAUGCCGCGCGAGUGAUGAAGGCCCUAGGGUUGUAAAGCUCUUUCACCGGUGAAGAUAAUGACGGUAACCGGAGAAGAAGCCCCGGCUAACUUCGUGCCAGCAGCCGCGGUAAUACGAAGGGGGCUAGCGUUGUUCGGAUUUACUGGGCGUAAAGCGCACGUAGGCGGACUUGUAAGUCAGGGGUGAAAUCCCGGGGCUCAACCCCGUAACUGCCUUUGAUACUGGAAGUCUGGGGUAUGGUGGGGGUGAGUGGAAUUCCGGGUGUAGAGGUGAAAUUCGUAGAUAUUCGGAGGAACACCAGUGGCGAAGGCGGCUCACUGGACCAUUACUGACGCUGAGGUGCGAAAGCGUGGGGAGCAAACAGG